AACGCAUAUUGCGCCUGCGCCUCGGCAAAGGCAUGUCUGCCUCAGCGUCGGUUUACCCCCUCCAAUCUCUCUCCACUCUGGAGAGACUUUGGGAUCUGACCUUCCCUUUCUCCCUUUCUCUGGGUUGGUUGAAAUAGAUGCCCGUGCCCACCAUCAAAACGAAGGCACAGAAAGGUAGGCCGUUUCAUCAAGCGGCACUGCCCCUGUGAUCUUCGGGUGAGUACUCGGAUGUGAUACAGGAUUCUCUUCCUCUUCACGAGGAGAACUUCAAACAUCUGACCUGAGAUCAGGCAAGACCACCCGCUGAACUUAA
rnacentral:misc_RNA from 1 species